rnacentral:rRNA from 1 species
CCGUGAAAAAAUUAGAGUGUUCAAAGCAGGCAGAUCCAAUUUUCUGCCACCGAAUACAUUAGCAUGGGAUAAUGGAAUAGGACCCUGUCCUCCUAUUUUCAGUUGGUUUUGGCAGCGCGAGGACUAGGGUAAUGAUUAAUAGGGAUAGUUGGGGGCAUUAAUAUUUAAUUGUCAGAGGUGAAAUUCUUGGAUUUAUGAAAGAUUAACUUCUGCGAAAGCAUCUGCCAAGGAUGUUUUCAUUAAUCAAGAACGAAAGUUAGGGGAUCGAAGACGAUCAGAUACCGUCGUAGUCUUAACCAUAAACGAUGCCGACCAGCGAUUAGGAGACGUUGAAUACAAAACACCACCAUCGGUUGCGGUCGUCCUUGGCGUCUCGGUUUCGGCCGGGGCGCGGGGAUGGCUUAGCCCGGUGGCACCGGUGAAUGACUCCCU